GACGAACGCUGGCGGCGUGCCUAAUACAUGCAAGUCGAGCGGACCAAUAGAAGCUCGCUUCUGUUGGUUAGCGGCGGACGGGUGAGUAACACGUGGGCAACCUGCCUGUAAGACUGGGAUAACUUCGGGAAACCGGAGCUAAUACCGGAUAAUUCAUCCCCUCGCAUGAGGGAGUGUUGAAAGUCGGUUCACGCUGACACUUACAGAUGGGCCCGCGGCGCAUUAGCUAGUUGGUGAGGUAAUGGCUCACCAAGGCGACGAUGCGUAGCCGACCUGAGAGGGUGAUCGGCCACACUGGGACUGAGACACGGCCCAGACUCCUACGGGAGGCAGCAGUAGGGAAUCUUCCACAAUGGACGAAAGUCUGAUGGAGCAACGCCGCGUGAGCGAUGAAGGCCUUCGGGUCGUAAAGCUCUGUUGUUAGGGAAGAACAAGUAUCGGAGUAACUGCCGGUACCUUGACGGUACCUAACCAGAAAGCCACGGCUAACUACGUGCCAGCCGCCGCGGUAAUAC
rnacentral:rRNA from 1 species